rnacentral:rRNA from 1 species
AUUGAACGCUGGCGGCAGGCUUAACACAUGCAAGUCGAGCGAGCGGCGGACGGGUGAGUAAUGUCUGGGAAACUGCCUGAUGGAGGGGGAUAACUACUGGAAACGGUAGCUAAUACCGCAUACCAUCAGAUGUGCCCAACGGGGAUUAGCUAGUAGGGGGGGUAAUGGCGCACCUAGGAGACGAUCCCUAGCUGGUCUGAGAGGAUGACCAGCGACACUGUAACUGAGACACGGUCCAGACGCCUACGGGAGGCAGCGGUGGGGAAUAGGGCACAAUGGGUGCAAGCCUGAUGCAGCCAUGCCGAGUGUGUGAAGAGGGCCUUCGGGUUGUAAGGCACUUUCAGCGAGGAGGCGUUACUCGCAGAAGAAGCACCGGCUAACGCCGUGCCAGCAGCCGCGGUAAUAC